UUCUAUCUCUUCAAUAAUGUGCCUGGAAAAUGUGGAUAUUAGUGCUUUCAGUGACAAUUAUGUCUCAAUUAUUUGUUCAAAACAUGGUAAUAUGCAUGAAUAUUGAGUGCAAAUGAGUGGUAAAAUCACCACUCAUCAAAGACAUAUAUAGAAUUCUCAAUUAACUAUGACAUAUACCAAAUCUUUACGUUAAUCAUCCUUUCUACUUAUAACAUUAGAUAAAAAAUGUAUAUAUACAACAAUCUUUCCCUAAUAAGGGACAUUUACUCUCUCCCAUCUAAAUUAUUGUUCAUAAUGUUUUUCAUCACCUCUACCUUAAUAUAAGGAAAGGUCACAAUCUUAGAUUGGCGAUUAUUAAAUUGAGUCAUGAUCAGGGAUGUCAAUAGGUCAUAUAGGGUCAGUUUCUGAAAUUUUUGACAUUGUUAAAGACAUAUUUGGAGGCCCAAAAUAAUGCAUCUAUGCGAUUAGGCUAUGAUACUUCAAUAAUUGCAUCGAUAGCAAUGAUGCGGCAUAGAGGCAAUCGCGUCGACACCAUCGAUGCAGCACAUCGGGUAUUGCGUUGCUAGCAACAGUUUGCUAACUUAAACUCCGAUUUUACAUGGGCAAGUUUGUCCUUUUCCCCUUACCCAAUUCAGCUAAAACAUGAGAUUAAACUCCUAAAAGGGCAAAUUACAUUAAUUAUUCUCAAAACCCUCUCUAGAAAAAAAGCCCUAGUUUCUUUAAGUUCAUCCUUGGGUUUCCUUCCACCGUUAGAGUUCAAGAAUCCUUUUCAAAAUAUGAACUGUGAUUCCCAUGUUAUAAAUUGAAUUAUGCUUAAGUUUGUCUUGUAGUAUGGGUUUCAACACAAGAUUUAAUUAGAAGUUUCAUGAAAAUAAGAUAGUGUGUAUUUUUUUUUGAUGUAAUUCCCAUAUUAAAACCCUUGAAAUUGCAAGUUUAUAUUAUAUUCAUGAUGCUUAUGUGUUGUUCAUUACCAUGUGCAUUAAUUAUGCUACCCAAGUAUUUGAUAGAAUGUCCAUGUGAAUUGAAUAGUAUAAUCAUGACAUGUUAUCAUGUCUUCUCAUUCAUGUACAAGUUAAUGACCUCCAUGUUCUAACAAAAUGUCUCAGUGAUUGAAUUGUGAACAAUUGACUAUUUUUAUACUUUCAAGACUGGUAAUAUUUUAUUAUUGAUGCUAUUGAGACCUGGGGGUAUUUAUUACCCAAAAUCUAUCCAUUUACUUUGUUGCAAUAGUUAUAGAAUAGUCCCAAAAAAGGUGGAGAAUAGUAGUACUCAGUCAGUAACAAAACUCAGUGAACAUGGUCCAGCUCAUUCAGUCAACACGAUUAGUGUAGUGAUCAUUCAGUAUCAAUUCAGUUGGAAGUAGGAUUCAGCACCAAGUGAACUUAAGGAUAUUCCUGCCAGCAGAUGGUUUGAACAUUUGUAGCAGUACCUGCAUUACAAAACUACGUAGCCAGUAUAGGGUAAGUCAUCCUUCUUCCAUACUAGGGUUGACACCAUCAUAUAUAUUUCAUGAGUUUUCCUACCAGAUUAGGGUUGACCCAGCAUUAUUAAUAUCUAGUGGCAAGGUGCUAACACCCAUCCAACUGGGGUCAUGGGUUGGACCCCAACUCAGUCUAUAUCGGGGUAUGUAGGUUAGAUGAACACUUCUAUAGUUACAGUUUCAGUAUCAGUAUUCAGUAAAGAACUCAGACAGUUCUACAGAACCAUGUACAUUAGUUAUCAGUUACUCGGCCAUCAGAAUUCAGUACUCACUUUCAGUAUAAUCUUAGCUACAUGAUGUAUAUCUACAUUCGUAGUAUCAGAUCUUCAAUAAGUUCAGCAUUUAUAGUUUUGCAUGUUCACUUAUCUAGUUACUUCAUGAUGUUCAUUCAUUUAGUUAUCAUCCCAUGCAUACGAACCCAUGUAUAUCAGCCUUACAAUACUUAGCAUACCAGUAUAUUCCACGUACUAAUGUAUACUCUCUCUUUUGCACUAUGAUGUCUCAUAUCAUAGGUUCAGAUGCUCAGGGUCCUAACCGUACUUAGCAGCCUAGGAUAUCAGCGACAGAUUCAAUAGUGAAUCCUCAUCCAUUGAGGACAUUAUUUUAUUUUAGCAUUUCAACAUAAUUAGUAUGUUUAGUAGUUGGGUUUAGUUGGGGACUUGUCCCAUCAACCCUAUAUUUAGACAGUUAGAGGCUCUCAGACUAGAUUACUUCAGAUAGAUGUUAAGUAUUUUCAGUAUUAUUAUUAGUAUUCAAUAUUUAUUUUCAUUUUACGAACCUUAUGGAAAUUUUAACCUAACUUCCACAUAUGUUUUUAGUAUUAUUAUUUAGUGGUCAACAGGUACCAGUCAUGGGUUAGCUUGUUAUCUUUUAGGAUCGUAAGUGUCAUGUGACAUCCAGGGAGUAGACUAGAGGCAUUACAAACUAGGUAUCAGAGACUAAGGUUCUAAAUAGUCUAAGGGUGAGCAUUCAUGUCAUAUGAGUGAGCAUAAGCUCAAGUUAAUAAUGUUCGACCAUUCUAGAUUGAUGGUCCAUGAUUAAUAGAUCGAGGAGCAGAAAACUAAGGAGAAAAAGAGGAAAAGAAAGAGGGCUAGAAUAAAUAACUUUAGUUUUUCUCAGCCUAAGUCAAAGGUUGGUAAUUGUCCUCGUUUGCUCCCAAAAUCAUCAGACCCAUCUCCAUUCUCAACUACUGCUCUAAUGCAUAAAUUCAGAAAUGGUAAUAAGGAUAGGGCACCAGGCUCUAAAUCUCAGGGUAGUGUUAGUAGUGCUCGAACAAAUCCUUUUUGUCAGAAGUAUGGCAGAAACCAUCAUGGUGUUUGUAGAGAUGGAAGUGAUGUAUGUUUUAGAUAUGGAAAGCCAAGCCAUAGGAUCAGAGAGUGUACGUAGGUGGGUUCACAGAGUCAGCAUAAUCAUCCCCCAACUCAGUUGGAUCGUCUAUGUCAAUAGGGUAUUGCUUCCAGUGCCAUAAUAAGGCAAUGACCUAAUAGGCUUUAUGCGCUUUAGUCCCGAUAGGGUCAGGAAAUUUUUGUUGAUGUGGUUAAUGGUACGUUACAAGUUUAUCAUUUACAUGUGAAUGCUUUGCUAGAUACAAGAUCUUCUUUAUCCUUUAUAACUCCUUAUAUAGUUGUUGACUUUAAAAUAAGUCCAAAAAUUCUAGAAGAACGCUUCUCAGUAUCUACCCUAUUGGGUAAGUCUAUUAUAGCUUGCCAGGAAUACAUGAACUAUGUAGUUAUGAUAUCUCAAAAAGAUUCUUCAGCAGACUUGUUAGAUUUACAGAUGAUGCAUUUUGAUGUCAUUCUCAGCAUGGAUUGGCUCAAUUCAUGCUAUGCCUCAGUUGAUUGUAGAAACAGAGUUGUCCAUUUCUAGUUCCCAAAUAAACCUAUCCUAGAGUAGAGGGGUAGCACCACAGCAUAUAAGGGUCAGCUUAUUUCAUACCUUAGAGAAAGAAAAAUGAUAUCCAAAGGGUGUGUCUAUUAUCUUGUGUGAUUCAAAGACUCUAGUUAUGAGGGUCCUAACCUUGAGUCAAUUCCAGUCAAAAGUGAAUUUCCAGAUAUGUUUCCUGAAGAUCUUCCUAGAGUUCCUCCUAAAAGGGAAAUUGAAUUAGAAAUAGACCUUCUUCCUGAUACACAACCCAUUUAUAUUCCACCAUACAGAAUGGCACCAGCUCAAUAUAAAGAGUUGAAGGAACAUUUGAUGAAUCUCCUAGAUAAGGGUUUUAUUAGGCCCACUGUCUCCCCAUGGAGCAUACCAGUUCUAUUCAUGCGUACAAAUGAUAGUUCUCUCAAAAUGUAUAUUGACUACCAUCAGUUGAACAAAGUCACCGCCAAGAACAAGUAUCCACUCCCUAGAAUCGAUGACUAGUUUGACCAACUUCAGGGUGCCAGUUACUUUUCUAAGAUAGACCUCAGAUAAGGUUAUUAUAAGCUUAGAGUCAGAGAAUGUGAUAUGCCAAAAAUAGGUUUCAGAGCUCGGUAUGGUCACUUCAAAUUUCUAGUCAUGUCAUUUGGUCUUACCAAUGCCUUAACAACUUCAUGGACUUGAUGAACUACGUGUUCAAGUAGUACUUAGACAUGUUCAUCAUAGUAUUCAUAAAUUACAUCCUUGUCUUCUUUCACAAUGAACAUGAUCACGUAGACUAUCUCAGAAUAGUAUUUAGACACUUAGAGCCUAUCUGUUGUUCACCAAAUUUAGUAAAUGCAAAUUUUGGCUAAUGUCAAUAGCUUUUCUUGUUCAUAUCACUUCCAAUGAUGGCAUUAAAGCUAAUCUUCAGAAGAAUGAAGCAGUGAGAAUCUAGCCUAGACCCAUCUAUCUAUUAGAUAUUAGGAGUUUCUUGGCUUUGGCUAGCUAUUAUUGAAAGUUAUUUGAAGGAUUUUUGUCUAUUGCAUCUUCGAUGCCUAGAAUGACUCAGAAGAAAGUUAAGUUCCAGUUGUCAGAUUCUUAUGCGAAGAGUUUUCAGGUAUGGAAGAAUAUCACUCCAGCACUAAUUUUGACUUUGCCCGACGGUUUAGAUGGAUUCAUUAUGUAUUUUUAUUCUUCUAGAGUUGGCUUGGGGUGUGUUAUAAUGCAAAAAAAUAAGGCCAUGGCCUAUGCCACCAGACAACUUAAGCCCCAUGAAAUGAAUUAUCCCAUCCAUGAUCUUUAAUUAGUAGCUUUUGUAAUUCCCUUAAAAAUUUUGAGGCACUAGUUUUAUGGGGUGCAUUUUGAUGUAUACAGAGACCACAAGAGCUUGCAGUAUGUAUUUUCCUAGAAAGACUAAAUUUGCGCCAAAGAAGGUGGUUAGAGUUGUUCAAUGAUUAUGACAUGAGUAUUUUGUAUCACCCAGGAAAGGCCAAUGUAGUUGCAAAUGCUCUCAGUAGGUUAUCCAUAGGUAGUGUUGCUCAUGUGAGGAUGGCAAGAAGAAUUUAUCUUAUGAAGUUCAUCAGCUUUCUAGACUAGUUGUCCAUUUUUUUAACUCGGUUGAGGGUAGUAUUUGGGUGUAGAAUAGUUUAGAAUUAUCUUUUGUUUUUAAAGUAAAAGAAAAGCUUGACGGGGAUCGUAGUUUAUUUAAGCUGAAAGAGUCAGUCAGAUUCUAGAAGGUAGAGGUUUAUACUUAAAGGGGAGAUGGUGUAUUGCAUUUUUAGGGUAGAUUAUGUGUGCCAUGUAUGGAUGGCGUGAGACAAUGGAUUCUUGUAAAAGUGCAUGGUGCACAUUACUUGAUUCAUCUAGAGGACACUAAAAUGUACCAAGAUUUUUAAGAAGUCUAUUGGAAGAGGGGGAUGAAGAGAGAUAUUAUAGAGUCACUAAGAUGUACUGCGAUUUGUGAGAAGUCUAUUGGAAGAGGAGGAUGAAGAGAGAUAUUACAGAGUUUGUGCUCCAUGUUUCAAUAAGUUAAGAUUGAAUAUAAGAAGCCUGGUGAGUCUAUAUAGGAUUUUAUUAGUCCUAUUUAGAAGUGGGUAGAAGUGAACAUUGACUUUGUGACAGGUUUGCCUCAUACUCAUCAACUGUACGAUUCUAUUUACGUCAUUGUAGAUUGAAUGACUAAGUUUGCCUAUUUCUUGCCUGCUCAUACUUCUUUUUCAGCCAAGGACUAUGCUAGGAUCUGUAUCAGAAAGUUGGUUAGGUUGCAUGGUGUCUCAUUGUCCAUCAUAUUAGAUAGAGUUACGCAGUUUAUCUCUCGUUUUAGGAAGCUUUUCAAAAGGGUCUUGGUACCCAAGUUCACCUCAGUGCAUCCUUCCACCCUUAGAUAGAUGGUCAUGCAUAAAGGACCAUUCAGACCCUUGAGGAUAUGAUAGAGUGUGUGUAGUUGACUUUAAGGGCAGUUGGGAUGACCACUUGCCUUUGAUUGAGUUCACGUAUAAUAACAACUAUCAUUCCAGUAUUCAACUAGCUCCAUUUGAGGCCUUUUAUGGAAGGAGAUAUAGAUCUCCUAUUAGUUGGUUUGAGAUAGGUAAGCCCACAAUAGUGGGUCCUGACUUGGUGUUUGAUGCUUUAGAGAAAGUGUAGUUAAUGAGAGAGCUUCUUAAGGCAACUCAGAGCUGACUAAAAUCUUAUGCAGAUGUGAGAAGAAAAGACCUUAAAUUUGAGAUUGGUGAUUAUGUGUAUUUGAAACUCUCUCCCAUAAAGAGGGUGAAGAGAUUUUGUAACAUGGGAAAGCCUAGUCCCCAAUAUGUUGGUCCUUAUUGAAUCGUAAGUCGUUUUGGAAAGGUAGCUUAUAAACUUGAGUUACCUAUAGACUUAGCAUCAGUGCACCUAGUGUUACAUGUCUCCUUGAUAAAAAAAUGCAUUGGUGAUCCAGUAGUUGUAGUCCCUUUAGAGAGUGUUGAUGUUCAUAAUAGUCUUAUUUAUAAGGAAGUCCUAGUCGAAAUCCUUGAUCGUCAGGUUCACAGACUAAGGAACAAAGAAGUUCCUUUGGUCAAAGUUCUCUGGAGGAAUCAGUCCAUUAAGGAUGCUAUUUGGGAAGUAUAGGCAGACAUACAAAACAAAUAUCUUUACCUCUUCUCUGCAAACUCAUACAAAGCCUAAGGUAACAUUCUUCCUUAGAUUUACUCUAUUCCAUGCUCAAUUCAAGCUGCAUAACAUUCUUAUGUCAUUCAUGCAUUCAUGAAACAUUUUAGUCAUGUGUCAUGUCUCUAAAAUUCAGUCUUGCUUCAGUGAUGCAUGUCAGUGUGAAUACAGUUCCUCCAUUCCACUCAGUUCAGUCAGUUUUAUUUGAGGAUGAAUAUUACCAUAGUGGAGAUAUGUAAGACCCCGCUAAGUCCUACUCAUUUUAGUCCUAUAUAGCAUGCCAAAAGAGUUCCCAAACUUAGAAAAAUUAAGCUCAUUGUUAAGUCUUAGAAGCAUUUUAGCCUUCAUAAUUGGAUGAUCUUAUUUUUGAUCCUUAUGACCUUAGAUUGUUGAUUUUUAAAUUUAUUCAUGAUCAGGGAUGUCAAUAGGUCAUAUUAGGUGGUUUUGGAAUUUUUCGACAUAGUUAAAGUCAUGUUUUGAUACCCAAAAUAGUGCAUCGAUGCGAUCAGGCCAUCGAUGUGGUGCGUCAGGUAUCGCAUUAAUGGGGACAGGUUUCUUACUUAAACUCUAACUUUCUAAGGGAAAUUAGGUCCUUUACCGCUUACCCAAUUCAUCUAAAACAUUAGAUUAAACUUCCAAAAGGGAAAAUUUUAUUCAUUAGUCUCAAAAUCCUCUCCAGAAUAAAGCCCUAGUCAAAGUUCUAAGAAAUCCCCAACAAUCUUCAUGAUAUCAACAACCAAGGAAUGCUAGGUGUUCAUCCUUGGGUUUUCUUCCACCCUUGGAGUUCAAUAACCCUUUACAAAACUUGAAUUAUUAUUCUCAAGAUAUGAAUUGAAUUGUGCUCAUGUUUGUCAUAUUGUAUGGGUUUCAACUCAAGAUUUAACUAUAAGAUUCAUGAACAUAAAAUAGCAUGUAUGUUGUUUGAUGUAAUUCCAAUGUUAAAACCUUUGAAAUUGCAAGUCUAAAUUGUAUUCAAGAUGCCUAUGGGUUGGUCAUUACCACGUGCAUUAAUUAUACUUCCCAAGUGUUUGAUAGAAUGUCCAUGUGAAUUGAAUAGUAUAAUCAUGACAUAUUAUCAUGUGUUCUCAUUCAUGUACAAGUUCAUGACCUCCAAUGUUUGUAAAAAUGUCUCAAUGAUUGAAUUGUGAACAAUUGACUAUAGUUAUACUUUCAAUAUUUGUUAUAUUUUAUUAUUAAUGCUAUCGAGUCCUGGGGGUAUUUAUUACCCGAAAUCUAGCUGUUUACUUUGUUGAAGUAGUUAUAGAAUAGUCCCUAUAAAGGACAAGAACAAUAGUACUCAGUCAGUAACAAAACUCAAUGAGCUUAGUCCAGCUCAGUCAGUCAACAUUAUUAGUGUGAGUUUAGUCAAGCCUAGCAUAGUCUAUUGAUCAGUUCAGUGUCGAUUCAGUUGAGAAUAGGAUUCAGCAUUGAGCGAACCAAGGGAGCAUUCCUGCCAGCAAAAGGUUUGACCCUUAGUAGCAGUCCAUGCAUUACAGAACUAUGUAGCCAGUGUAAGGUAAGUUGUUCUCCUACCAGACUAGGAUCGACGCCAUCAAAUAUAUUUCAUGAACCCCAAUUUAGUUUAUAUCGGGGUAUAUCGGUUAGAUGAAUACUCCCAUGGUUACAAUUUUAGUCUCAGUAUUCUGUAAGGAAAUCAGAUAAAUCUAUAGGACCAUUUCUAUCAGUUAUUAGUUACUUAGCCAUCUAAAUACAGUAGUCAAUUUCAGUAUAAGCUCAAAUACAUGAUGUAAAUCUAUAUAUCCAGUAUCGUAUGUUCAAUAUGUUCAACAUUUAUACUUUUACAUGUACAUUUAAUCAGUUAGUUCAUGAUGAUCAUUCAGUCAGUUAUCAUCUCAUGCAUAUGAACCCAUGUAUAUUAAUCUUAACUCACUUAUCAUACCGAUACAUUCCAUUUACUGAAGCAUACUCACUGUUUUGUGCUAUUAUGUCUCAUAUCAUAGGUUCGAAUGAUCAGUGGUCCUGACCAUACUUAGCAGCUCAGGAUAUCAAUGGCAGAUUCAGUAGUGAGUUCUCAUCCAUCGAGGAUAUUAUUUUAUUUCAAAAUUUUAGUAGAUUUAGUAUGUUAAUUAUUCGGAUUUAGUUGGGGACUUGUCCCAUCAACCCUACAUUCAGAAUGUUAGAGGCUUUUGGACUAGAUUGCUUCUAACAGAUGUUCAGUAUUUUCAGAAUUAUUAUCAGUAUUCAAUAUUUGUUUUCAGUUUAUGAACCUUAUGGCAUUUUCUGCCUAACUUCCGCAUAAGUUUUCAAUAUUAUUAUUCAGUGCUCACUGCAGGUACCGGUCAUGGGUUAGUUUGUGAUCCUUUGGGGUCGUAAGCACUAUGUGACAUCCAAGGUGUAGACUUAGAGCAUUAAAAAUAGAUGUGGUCAUAGUCUCCCAUGUUGAGUACCUUUAGGCAACAUAAUCUAGACCAUCAUUAAUAAUUUCACACCAAAACCAUGCUAGAGUAACUAGUUAAACUAAGGUGGUAAUGUUAUAAUGGGUGUUGGGAUAAGAGAUAGACAUGCAGAAAUUUUGGACUCAGCUUAAAAUUAGUCAUAGUUAAGGUUAUUGUGGACCAUUCACCACAAUUGCAAUUUUGAAAUCAUAGACCAUUCACCAUGAUCAAUGCUUCACGAUCGCAAUCCCGUUGACCGCAAUUGUGGUAACUUAGGCCAUGUUCUAGUUUCUUGACAUCACUAAAACAUCAAAUUUUAUCCCAAAGUGAGUUCCAGUUUACCAAUAAAUCAUUAUGCUCAUGAAACUUAAACCCUGAAUGCUAGAUUAUCCCAUCAAAACUCAAAGGAACUAACAUGGAAUUCAUUGGGGCAUUUAAUAAAACAUAUGGUGUACACAUGAAUUCUAUUAUUUUUAGGCCAAAAUCCUAGUACUGAAGACUUCCCCAUUGAUUUGUACACGAACUACAAUAGCUAAACACAAAACGAACCAUAAAUAUGCAUGGAUUUAGCAUUCAUCAGUACUCUUUCAGGUCUAUUUCUAAAAUAAAAUUUCAAGCCUAAAACAAACAUUAAAAAUAAGGGAGUUGAGACCACAUACCGAGUUAGACGAUGCACAAGGGUUGAAAUGCAUAACUUGGGUACUCAAACAUAGUUAAAUUCGAGUGGAAGUUUAGAGUAUUAGAAGAAAGAAUAUGGGGAAAGAAUGGUAGACUGAUGGUCUUUUUAAACUGCACUGACCACGAUUACAGUCAAAUAUCCGCAAUUGUGGACACGUGGCUACUGUGAUCGCGGUGACACAAACCACAUAUACGAUAACUAAAUCUAAAUUUGUAGUCCUCUGCAUUCUCCUGCACAAUCUAAACAUGAUAAUUUCCACACAUUCCCUUUUUGAAGUUCAAUCAAAACACCUUGCAGCACCAUAAUUUUUUGGAUUAUGCAAAAACAAAAAUAAAAUCUACUUUAUAAUGCAUAAAUUUUGUGGACUAAUGGGUUGGUUACCAUCUUUUGUGGCAAGGAACUUCUCCAACUAUUAUUUGUGUUUCCUCUUAAGAGAUUUGAAUUUUCAUCCCAACUGUUGCUUACUAUUUAUUGAACGGCAGAGGGAUAGAAUAUUUAAAUCUUCUAUGGUAAAACUAGAUAGAGGUGAGAGCAUGACAGUGAAUCUUCUAUCCUACCACUUUGAAGAUUUGAAUCUUUCACCUAACUUCACAUCAAAUUUUCAAUAUGGCUUAUUAGGUAAAUGUGGAAACAUUAAUAGACUUCUAGCUGUACACUGGAAUUUGAGUUCCUUGGCCUUUGAUGGUGGAGUUUCCAUAUGCUCUUUUGGAGUGUCAAAUUCCAAAAUGUAGGGAUGGUGCUCCUUUUCCCCAUAAUCCACCAUUUUCCUAGUUAGAUGGAUUCUCAUCACAUACUCUAUGAAUAGUGUUGAGAAGUGGUUUGACUAAGGUCUAUCCCUUAAUUUUGAAAUUGCAUCCUUAGUAUGACCCUCACCCCGAAAUGGACUAGAGUCUUUAUGAGAGAUAUGCUUUGAUUAUUCUUUUCACUCUAGUGUCAUUUCCUCAAUUUUGGCAUCUUCAACAAUAUGCUUUUUAGUUGGUCGGGAGAUCUCUUAGGAUACUUCGCUAUCAGGCUCAUCAUCAUAUCUUAGUUUCUCUCUAUUAUUAACCUCUUCUUUGGAUGUGGAUAGGAUGAUUGCAUUUGCGAUAUUUAUUUCCUUUCCCAUUUCCUCUAUCUUGGAAACAUCCCAUCUAAAUACCUCAUUGUCUUUUUGUAUGUCUUGUACAUUCUCCCCUUUUGUAGUAACCCGAUCCAAAAUUGUUUGAAGCAUUGCUUCAUAACUAUUGGAUCCGACAUGUUCUUCUUCCCUUGUUGCAUCAUGAUAACUAUCAAACUCAUAAGAAGAACUAGCAAUUGGGUUAGCAUAAUUAGGGGAGGGAGCAUUUAAAAUUCACUAUAGUGUCCAUCUCGACCACAAACCAAAGAAUAUUCAUACUCCUAAUAGGAUCGAGAUGGUUC
rnacentral:lncRNA from 1 species